rnacentral:rRNA from 1 species
UGGCCAAGUGAUAGUGGCAUACGGUGGAUGCCUUGGCACCAGGCGCCGAUGAAGGACGUGGGAGACCGCGAUAGGCCACGGGGAGCUGUCAACCUAGCUGUGAUCCGUGGGUGUCCGAAUGGGGAAACCCAGCCCGAGUUGUGUCGGGUUGCCGCCGCCUGAAUGUAUAGGGCGGUUGGUGGUGACGCGGGGAAGUGAAACAUCUCAGUACCCGUAGGAAGAGUAAACAACAGUGAUUCCCCUAGUAGUGGUGAGCGAACGGGGAAGAGGCUAAACCGUGCGCGUGUGAUAGACGGCAGUCGUUGCGUGUGCGGGGUCGUGGGGUGUAUCUGUCCGGGUCUGCCGAUUCGGAGCAUUUGAGGGUUCUUCUAGCUGAAUCCGUUGGGAAGCGGAACCGUAGUGGGUGAGAGUCCCGUAGGUGAAGGAAGAGUCCGGGUGUUGGUACAUACCCGAGUAGCGCGGAGCCCGAGAAAUUCCGUGUGAAUCUGGCAGGACCACCUGCUAAGCCAAAAUACGUCCUGGUGACCGAUAGUGCACUAGUACCGUGAGGGAAAGGUGAAAAGUGCCCCGGUGAGGGGUCGUGAAAUAGUACCUGAAACCGUGUGCUGUCAAGCCGUCAGAGCUGGGGACUUGUUCCUGGUGAUGGCGUGCCUUUUGAAGAAUGAGCCUGCGAGUCAUGGUGUGUGGCGAGGUUAACCCGGGUGGGGUAGCCGUAGGGAAACCGAGUCUGAAUAGGGCGUUUGAGUCGCAUGCUGUGGACCCGAAGCGGAGUGAUCUACCCAUGUCCAGGGUGAAGCGGGGGUAAGACCUCGUGGAGGCCCGAACCCACCAGGGUUGAAAACCUGGGGGAUGAGGUGUGGGUAGGGGUGAAAGGCCAAUCAAACUCCGUGAUAGCUGGUUCUCCCCGAAAUGCAUUUAGGUGCAGCGUUGCGUGUUUCUUGCCGGAGGUAGAGCUACUGUUUGGCUGAUGGGCCCCACAAGGUUACUGACGUCAGACAAACUCCGAAUGCCGGUGAAGUGAAGCGUGGCAGUGAGACUGCGGGGGAUAAGCUUCGUAGUCGAGAGGGAAACAGCCCAGAUCAUCAGCUAAGGCCCCUAAGCGUGUGCUAAGUGGGAAAGGUUGUGGAGUUGCUGAGACAACCAGGAGGUUGGCUUAGAAGCAGCCAUCCUUUAAAGAGUGCGUAAUAGCUCACUGGUCAAGUGGUUCUGCGCCGAUAAUGUAGCGGGGCUUAAGCACACCGCCGAAGCUGUGGAGCCCGGGA